rnacentral:lncRNA from 1 species
GCAUCCUGAGGUUUACCGAGUGUUGAUAACUAACCCUGCAGGUUACUUCACUCUUCCUUGAAAUAUAUGGAAUUUCAAUAUAUGUGGCAUGCAGCUGUGCAUGACCGGGAGACAACAUGACCAACAGAAAGUUUCAUAUGAAGAGUUUAUCCAGCAAGCUAGUGGUGGAGUGUCAAGUAUCAAGGUUGAGGGUUUGCAAAAUGCACGCAUGUCAGGAGAGCAUUUAUGUAUCAAAAUGCUUCUGUGUGGGUUUGAUGGCUUGCUGAACAUGCUGCAGGACUGACAUGGUUAAUUUUAUUCAUCUUCUGAUGGUAAUUUAUCCUAAAUGAAGGUCUGAUUUUGAUAUACUGGGUCGGUUCAUUUGCCGACUGACAAUUUUGAAGAACAUGGUGAGUUGUGAAGCGCAUUCAGGUGUCACAUCCUGAGUUGAUUUUAAACCGAGUUCCUCUUGUGAAGUAAAUAAUAUGUUUUUUCCAGCUUGGUCAUGUAUACCGUGUGAUGGAUGUCCUGUUAUUCAGCUUGGUGUUCCUUUAGAUAUGUUAUUGGAAAAUGUCCACCUUGUGAAGUAUACGCUGUUCCUAUUUUUCCAGACGAAAUAUUCACCUUGUUUAUGGCACAUACUUCUCCAGAAAGGACUGGAGGCAUGGUAAUUAUUGGGAUUGUUGCUUUGUGCUGAAGAUGCUAUGGAGACGGUGGUUUUGCGCCAAUCCUGAAAGAGACAGUCAAAUAAGGUGAUAUCAUGUACAUGAUGAUGUUUAUGACAUGGAUGAGGGGAUGGCAUGUACAUGUUGAUGUUUAUCUUUGCCUGAUUUAGUUGGAAUGUUGGAAUCGUACGUACCAAAGAUGCUCCACAUAGAGGAUGAUGGCUCUGCAUCACAUACUGAUACUGAUGAUAUUGCUGCAUUGCUUGCUGGAAGCAAUACGAGAUCUUGCUGCAUUGCUGAUAUUGAUGUAAGGGAGGGGCUGUGCAUACAAAGGAUAGUUAUACCUGGUACUACAAUCAAAUUUUGUAUGUAGUAUCUUCGUUAUGAGGCAAUGGAUGCUGUGGUACCAGCCGCACAUGAAAAUGCAUGCGUAAGCUCAUCAAAAUGAGAAUGGUUCCUGUUGUGUCCAGAGUAAAUAACUCGAGAUGAGGACAGGAUGUGGACAUCAGCGGUAUUGGAUGGCUUGGAAGUGCGACGUGACUUAAGAAAACUGACACAAUUGUUUCGUCUUCAAAAUGAGAAUGGUUCCUGUUGUGUCAAGAGUAAAUAACUC